rnacentral:rRNA from 1 species
GACGAACGCUGGCGGCGUGCUUAACACAUGCAAGUCGAACGAAGGGGGGAACGGGUGAGUAACGCGUAAUCAACCUGCCCUUCAGGGGGGGACAACAGUUGGAAACGACUACUAAUACCGCAUACUGAAGGAGGGGAGUGCGUCUGAUUAGCUAGUUGGCGGGGUAACGGACCACCAAGGCGAUGAUCAGUAGCCGGGUUGGAGGGAUGAACGGCCACAUUUGGACUGGGACACGGCCCAGACUCCUACGGGAGGCAGCAGUGGGGAAUCUUCCGCAAUGGACGAAAGUCUGACGGAGCAACGCCGCGGGAGGGAUGACGGCCUUCGGGUUGUAAAGCUCUGUUAAUCGGGACGCGGUACCGGAAUAGAAAGCCACGGCUAACUACGUGCCAGCAGCCGCGGUAAUUC